AGUGAACGCUGGCGGUAGGCCUAACACAUGCAAGUCGAACGGCAGCACAGUAAGAGCUUGCUCUUACGGGUGGCGAGUGGCGGACGGGUGAGGAAUACAUCGGAAUCUACUUUUUCGUGGGGGAUAACGUAGGGAAACUUACGCUAAUACCGCAUACGACCUACGGGGGAAAGCAGGGGAUCUUCGGACCUUGCGCGAUUGAAUGAGCCGAUGUCGGAUUAGCUAGUUGGCGGGGUAAAGGCCCACCAAGGCGACGAUCCGUAGCUGGUCUGAGAGGAUGAUCAGCCACACUGGAACUGAGACACGGUCCAGACUCCUACGGGAGGCAGCAGUGGGGAAUAUUGGACAAUGGGCGCAAGCCUGAUCCAGCCAUACCGCGCGGGUGAAGAAGGCCUUCGGGUUGUAAAGCCCUUUUGUUGGGAAAGAAAAGCAGCAGGUUAAUACCCCGCUGUUCUGACGGUACCCAAAGAAUAAGCACCGGCUAACUUCGUG
rnacentral:rRNA from 1 species